CACCAAGGCGACGACGCAUAGCCGACCUGAGAGGGUGAUCGGCCACACUGGGAAUGAGACACGGCCCAGACUCCUACGGGAGGCAGCAGUAGGGAAUCUUCCACAAUGGACGAAAGUCUGAUGGAGCAACGCCGCGUGAGUGAUGAAGGUUUUCGGAUCGUAAAACUCUGUUGUAAGGGAAGAACACGUACGAGAGGGAAUGCUCGUACCUUGACGGUACCUUACGAGAAAGCCACGGCUAACUACGUGCCAGCAGCCGCGGUAAUACGUAGGUGGCAAGCGUUGUCCGGAAUUAUUGGGCGUAAAGCGCGCGCAGGCGGCCUUUUAAGUCUGAUGUGAAAGCCCCCGGCUCAACCGGGGAGGGCCAUUGGAAACUGGAAGGCUUGAGUACAGAAGAGAAGAGUGGAAUUCCACGUGUAGCGGUGAAAUGCGUAGAGAUGUGGAGGAACACCAGUGGCGAAGGCGACUCUUUGGUCUGUAACUGACGCUGAGGCGUGAAAGCGUGGGGAGCAAACAGGAUUAGAUACCCUGGUAGUCCACGCCGUAAACGUUUCUCCUCGGUGUUGGGGGGUUUCCGCCCCUCAGUGCUGAAGCUAACG
rnacentral:rRNA from 1 species